rnacentral:misc_RNA from 1 species
CAUACAUUACACCACUAGGAACAACUCCAACACCCUGAUUAUUCUCAGGUACCUUCUUUUUUGUCACCGCAAAAUGCUUGUGCGAUCUCUGAUGAUGCACCUUGCUGGGAUACACAAGGGAGUGACUGUGGUCCUUCACAUAUUUGGUCACAACCCACUUGUUUUGACCUUUUAACUCCACUCUAAGCAUUGCAUCACAGGAUUCACCUGACACUCUUCUCAAACCAACCUUGUCACAUAAGAAAUCAG